AGAUUUUAACCAAGGAAAGACAACUUGAUGUGCUUUGAUUUGAGGGGUCACUCAAUGCUGAACGAAAAUUAGGGACAUUGCUAUGUGAAGAAACGUUAACAUUGCCGCCUAUGGGAAAACAAUUAGUGGGCUGUACCCAAUAUGUUGAGCCUAUUGGUUCAUGGUGAUACAGGACAACUUCGAGGUUCAUGCAGAUGGUGUUUAAAACUAUCAGUCAGUAAAAACAAACUCAUUUGAACAUAUCUCGAGUCUUCACAUGUAAAAUGAUGGCCGCAGUACUUUUAAUAUAGGUUAACGCAGACAGACGCAUUUUGCCGGAAAACGAAUCUGACAUGCCACCUCGAGAUUUUAACCAAGGAAAGACAACUUGAUGUGCUUUGAUUUGAGGGGUCACUCAAUGCUGAACGAAAAUUAGGGACAUUGCUAUGUGAAGAAACGUUAACAUUGCCGCCUAUGGGAAAACAAUUAG